rnacentral:rRNA from 1 species
UACGGAGGGAGCUAGCGUUGUUCGGAAUUACUGGGCGUAAAGCGCACGUAGGCGGCUUUGUAAGUUAGAGGUGAAAGCCCGGGGCUCAACUCCGGAACUGCCUUUAAGACUGCAUCGCUUGAAUCCAGGAGAGGUGAGUGGAAUUCCGAGUGUAGAGGUGAAAUUCGUAGAUAUUCGGAAGAACACCAGUGGCGAAGGCGGUCUCACUGG